rnacentral:lncRNA from 1 species
GAAAAUAUCAGCCAUAGGAGGGUUUUGGAAGCUUGAAAAAUUUCAGCCACUUAAUCUCCCUACAAGUAAGUGGUUUUGAUGACUUUUCUUGAUAAUUUUUGUGUUUUUGGAACCCUUGUACCAUGAGCUUCCAAAUGAGGGGACUAUUUUGCAAAAUGGUUGAAAGUCUAGGGUUUUACCAUGAGUGUGUUCAUGUUGUUUUCUGAAAUUUUAUGGAAGAAAAUGAGUUAUGGUGGUGUAAAAAACAACUUUUGUGAAGUAGUUUUCAUGGAAACCUUAGCUAGGGACCAUUUUACAUAAGUUGAAAAUUAGAUGAUAAAUGUGAUGAAUAAUGGAAAUUUUCGGUUUCUAUAAGAGUAAAAAGGGUUCGGUUAGACUUAAGAUAUGAAGAAGUUCGAUAAAAAUCAAUUUUUAGACCUAGGGGUAAAUGGUCAUUUUGUAAAAAUCUAGGGGCAAAAUGGUCAUUUUGCCUAAUUUUUAAAAUUUUGAGUACCUAGAUUAAUAAAAUGAUUAAAUGUGUGAAUUUUCAUCAUUAUAGAUCAAGGAUUACAAAAUCCAAGCAUAGACUGGGGAAAAGCAAAGUAAGUGGACUAAGCCGAACUAGUCGCCUACAUUUUGUAAUUCGAGGUAAGUUGUAUGUAAAUAAUACAAAUAAUUUGUUAUUAUAUGUGUUUGUAUUGAUAUAACAUAAAUUUCUUGUUUGUGGAAAUGAUUAUCUAUGAUGAAUAUUAAGAUAGGAGGACUCCCAUUUGAACCUUAGGAAAUAAAUCAGAUAUUCAUACCAUGAUAUUCGGGUUAUUUGUGCGCUAGUGUAAGAUAUGUUUGGGACAUGCAUCGGCCACAUUAUGAGAACCAGUGUAAGACCAUGUCUGGGACAUGGCAUUGGCAUUGAGACGAGAGCUAGUGUAAGACAUGUCUGGGACAUGCAUCGGCCUCGAAAUAUAAGCAAGUGUAAGAUAUGUCUGGGACAUGCAUGACUACGAGAUGUGCCAGUGUAAGACCAUGUCUGGGACAUGGCAUUAGCACGGAUAUGUGAAAGAUAGUAUAAGACCAUGUUUGGGACAUGGCAUCGGCACGAAUAUGUGAAAGCUAGUGUAAGACCAUGUCUGGGACAUGGGGUCGGCCUCGAUUUUGAUAGUCAUUGUAAGACCAUGUCUAAGACAUGGCAUCGAAUUGAUGGAUGAGCCAGUGUAAGACCUUGUCUGGGAUAUGGUAUCCGCAUUAUACCCUAUGGUUGAGGCUUAGUGAAUAUCCGAUAGCUUUUCAAAUGGUUCAAUGGUGAGAGUUAUAGUUUAAGUUAAACGAGAAAAGUAUAACCACGUUGUAAGUGGUAGAGGUACCUAUUUGAAAUGUAUGAGACGUGAGCUUAAUAUAUAUACUAUGUGAAUUGUAUUGGUUAAUAACGAGUAAGUUGUGCUUAUGUCUACUUUUGUACUAUAAGCAUGAUGAUGAAUGGUAAAGUUACUGUCAUAUUUAUUAGCAUGCAACUUACUAAGCUUUAUGCUUACUCCCUCUCUUUUCCAUUUUCUUAUAGUAUCGCCUAACUAGCUCGAGGAUCAAUAGACAUCGGAGGCAUCAAUCACACUAUCAGUUGAAGCACUCGGUAUAAUUAGAUUUAUCAUUUUGAAUAUGGCAUGUAUAGGAACUUAGACUUUUGAGUUUUGUGUCAUUGUUAAUUGGCCAAAUGUGAUGACUUACCUUAGCAUUUGAUUCAUUUUGUAUAAGGCCACGAAAAAUGGCUA